rnacentral:pre_miRNA from 1 species
UUAUGCCUGGCUCCCUGUAUGCCACACAUAUAGACCAAUUCAUGGGGUGAUUGGCUCUAUUGUGGGUGGCGUGCAAGGAGCCAAGCAUGC